rnacentral:rRNA from 1 species
AAUGAACGUUGGCGGCGUGGAUUAGGCAUGCAAGUCGUGCGAGAAGUCAAUUAGCUUGCUAUGAGACGGACAGCGGCGAAAGGGAGAGUAACGUGUGGUUACGUGCCCAGGGGUCCAGGAUAGCGUUGGGAAACUGGCGGUAAUACUGGAUGAUAUCUUUGGAUCAAAGGUGAGAUUCCGCCCUUGGAUCGGACCGCAUACUAUUAGCUUGUUGGUGGGGUAAUGGCCUACCAAGGCAGCGAUGGUUACCGGGUGUGAGAGCAUGGCCCGGCUCACUGGGACUGAGACACUGCCCAGACACCUACGGGUGGCUGCAGUCGAGAAUCUUCGGCAAUGGACGAAAGUCUGACCGAGCGACGCCGCGUGCGGGAUGAAGGCCCUCGGGUUGUAAACCGCUGUCAGUUGGGAGGAAAGUUUGUGAAGAGCAAGCUUGACCGAUCUUCAGAGGAAGGACGGGCUAAGUUCGUG